rnacentral:lncRNA from 1 species
AGUAGGUGGAUGUCGUACAGACCAUGUGAGGGUUCCGACAUGCUAGUCGUAUAGAUCACUAGGCGUGAUUCCGACUAGUGGGUGAUCUUAGUUAUGCGCGCUGAUGAUUGAUGAGAGAAGCACUAGAGCGUAUUUUUACACCUUUCAUCGUACAGACUACCUUACGUAGUUCCGAGUGAUGUGCAGAGUAGGGCCGUAUAGGUCACUGUGGUGACUCCGGCUUAGUGAGAUAUUGAGCUAUUGAAUUAAUCGUAUAGGACCAACUGCAGGGUCUCCGAUUGAUUCCUUAUUUCACCUGAUUUAUAUUUUGAUUUAUGGCAUGGCAUGUUUUUCUUGAAAAAUGUUAAAGAUUUGGGAUUCAAGUUUUGAGAUUUCAUAUGGUUAUAUAUAUAUAUUUUUCUGAAAAGUGUUAAAGGUUUGAGAUUUGAGAUUUUUGCUUAUAUAUAUGUUUAUAUAUAUGCUAUUUUCUGGGAAAGUAUACAGGUUUUACGGUGAGGGGUUAGAAAUAUUUUAAAUGAAAAGUUUUCGAAAAACUUUGUUUUACUGACCCACUCAAUUUUGUUUUGCGCCCCUCCAGGUUCAAGUUAGCAGAGCUUUGGUGGCCACGAGGAAUCCAACGGUGUUCUGACAGAAUUCACAAAAGUAGGACUCACCCUCGGGUGUGUCAUCUUAGUAAUUGGAAAUUUUUUUUAAAGCUUCUGAACUAUGUAAAUGGUUACGUCACUCUCACGUGACGGCCAGCACGCCCUCCUUCGGGACGGGGUGUGUCAGUUGGUAUCAGAGCCUAGGUUGCAAUUCUGGACAUCUUGAGAAUUUCCUAGUGUCUUCUGUCAGAACUAUACCGCCUCAUAGCGAGCCACGUAGUUCGGAUGAGCCUAAAUUCCCUGAUAUAGUAGUUUGGGGGGAAAUUAUUGUCACUAUGAUUCAGUCUAUUAUCUAAAGGAACCUUUGAGACUGAUUAUAAGUUAAAUUUGAAUACAGACUUGCCUUGUUUCCAUUCGGGAUGUUGUUACUAAUCCGGUCGAGGUGUUAUGUCGUUUUUGGCGGGAUAAUAAGAAGAAGUGACGUUCUUUGGCGACCACAAUCCAUUGUACUUUUUUACCAGGAGUUUACGAGAUGUUGUUGGGCUUUGAGGACUUUGAGAAUAUGAUCAGCGAGAGUAAAGAAGAAUAAGAAAAGAAUGGUAAUUAGAGGAAAGGUGAGAAAGUUAAAGAUCCGUCAUAUCAAGGACGUCGAAAGACUCAGAGCUUCAAAAGAAGUGAAGUUAGAACUAAUUCUUCCAACUGAGGUUUUAGUGCCACUGGUCCGAGGCGAAGUGAUAGAUUUACGGGUGAUCCCAGAUCUUAAAGACAAGGGGUGACUCGAGUAAGGGAAAUGUACCUUUGUGCCAUAGGUAUAAUAUUAGACACUUUGGAGAGUGUGGGAAUCAGUGAAUGUGUUCAUGUGGAUGGAUGGGACAUAGAGGUAUGAAUUGUCCCUGGAAUCAGUUGUUACCCAAUAGUCUUCCUUAACAUAUCACUUGGAAAUAUUGACGAGUAAGUCGUACAGGUCACUAUAUGUGACUCCGACUUAUGUGCUAGCAUGGAUGGUCGAGUUGUAGACUCAGUCGUACAGGUCAUUCUAGCUGACUCCGGCUGAUAUAUUUCUUAUUAUGGUCGAUGUUGCCAAAGAAAGUAAUGUUGGAGCACGAUCGAGGCGUAUUUAUGUAUUUCUAAGGAAGAACAAGAUGAUAAUAUUACACCCCUCAGGAAUUGUUACUUAGUUAUCGAGACAACAGUGAGUUAUUUGUAUUGCGGGCUGCAGACCGUAAUAUUUAUAACUUAUUUGUUGGAUUCGUUAAGUAAGUAAACAAGUAAGGCACUUUAUGUUGAUUUGGUUUAUUAAGGGUGUCCAGUGAUGGUGAAAAAUGUCAUGUCAGUGAAUUUUAUUCCGUUGGAUAUUAUGGAUUUUGAGGUGAUUUUUUUUGGCACCAGUGCGUGCAGUAUAAUUGUGUCAAGCUAGAUUGCUAUGGGGAAUCAGUUAAUUUUUGUUGACCUGGAUGACCAGAGGUUACUUUUAGGGGUAAGUAAAGUGGAGUGAGUUAUGCCAUUAUUCCUGUUGAGAGAGCAAAGAAGAUUGUUAUCAAAAGGCUGCCAAGAUAUUGAGUUCAUAUGGUGCUAAAUGAUGUUGAUCCUAAUAGUAUGGAAGAUGUAAAGAUGGUUAGACAUUUUCUUGGUGUAUUCCCAGAUGACUUACCUAGAUUGCCGCCAGGCAGAGAUGUGGGUUCCAUUAUUGAAUUGUUUUUAGGUACAAAUCCUAUGUUAGAAAUUGGUUCAGGUUGAGUUAAAAGUUCCAUUCAACUUAUUAUAUCACAUUGGAAAAGCUCCGGUUUAUUUGUGAGGAAGAAAGUGGACAUUAAGGCUAGGCAUUGAUAUUAGGUAAUUGAAUCGGGUAACGAUUGAGAGCUGUUAUCCAUUGUUGUGUAUUAAUGAUUAUUUGAUCAGCUCUGAGGCGCCUGGGUACUUUCUGAGACUGACUUGAGGUCUGAAUGAUAUUAGUUGAAGAUUAACAGUGGGGAUGUCCAUAAGACUGAAUCCAGGACUCGUUAUGGUCAUUUCAAGUUGGGAUGCCAUACGGAGUGACGAAUGCACCUACUAUUUUUAUGAGCUUACUGAAGGAAGUAUUCCAGUGAUAUCUAGAUCGGUUUGUUGUUGUUGCCAUUGACGAGAUUGAUAAGAUUAGAGCAGUGCAUGCUAGAUAUUUUAAAGUUGGGUGUUGCAAAGAUUGAAGGAACGUUGAUGUAUGCUAAGUUUAGCAAAUGCUAAUGUUGGAUAAAUUAAUUAUAUCUACUUAAGGUAUUCAAGUGGAUUCUUAAAAGAGUAGCAACGAUUGAGAAUUUGGAACAAUUGCGAACCGUGACUGAGGUUUAGAGUUUUCUCGGAUUAGCAGGAUAUUGUCGAUAGUUCGUCCAAGAUUUUAAUUAUUGCUUCGCCCUUGGCGAGAUUGAUGAGAAAAGAGGUUAAGUUUGAGUGGGAUGAAAAAUUGUGAGUAGAGCUUCAGCAAGUAAAGUAUUCCCUCACUCAUGCAUCUGUUUUCGCACUCCCAAACGAUAGUGGUAAUUACGUAGUCUAUAGUAAUACUUCUUUGAAUGUUCUUGAAUGCGCGUUGAUGCAACAUGGUAGGAUGAUUGCCUAUGCUUCAUGGCCAUUGGGAUCUCAUAAGAUGAAUUACCCUAAUUAUAAUUUGGAAUUAGCAGCUAUCAUCUUUGCUUUGAGAAUUUGGAGACAUUGUCUUUAUGGGAAGAAAAGUGCAUGAUUGUUACAAAUCAAAAGAGUACCCAAUAUCUGUUUAUUCAGAGGUAUCUUAAUCUUAGGCAACAAAGGUGGAAUGAGUUGCUUAGUGAUUAUGAUUGUGUGACGAGGGUGGUCAAGCUAAUGUUGUGGCUGAUGCAUUUAGUAGGAAGACCCCAGUGAGAAUUAAUGCUUGGUAUGCUUGCUAUGUUCAUCUUCUUGUGGAUUUGAAAUCUACUGGAGUAAAGUUGAGUAUCAAAAAUCGAGAAGAAGCCUUACUUGCUAAUUUCUAAGUUGGACCCAUUUGGUAGAUCGUACUCGAUACUCAAGCGUUUGACGAAGAAAUUCAAGAAUUUAUUUAAAGCAAGGAAUAACGGGAUAAAGAAGGACCUUAGAGUUAGAGAAUCAGAUGGCAAGCUUAUGCAAGGGAACAAAGUGUUUAUGCCUAAUGGUGUGGAAUUAAAUAAAGCAAUUUUGACGAUGUACAUUAUUCCACUUCUACAAUGCAUCCCAAAAGUACUAAGAUUUAUCAUACCAUUCGUUCAUGUACUAUUGACGGGUAUGAAAAGAGGAACGGCGAAGUAUGUUAGUAGGCGUAUCAUCAGUCAUCAGGUUAAAGCAGAAAGAAAUAAGUCUUUUGGAAUAAUGUAGUCAUUUCCCAUUCCACGGCGGAAAUGGGAGAAUAUUACUAUGGAUUUCAUGGACAAGCUUCCUCGUAUACCAAAUAGUUAGGUUGGAGUUUGAAUAAUAAUUGAUUGAUUUGUGACGUCAGCGCAUGUUACUUCAGUAUGAGAACAUCAACCUUUCCAGAUAAGCGCAACAGUCAUUUAUUUGUUUUAUGGAAAAAGGAGAUUGGGAUCUGUUAAACUUCUUGGGUAUGUUGGUUCCUUCAGUUUGUUCCCUAGAGUAACGCCAUAAGGCCGUGGAAAGCUAUGUCUUGUGUUUCGAAAUUGUUAGAAUUGGGGACGGAUGAUAUUCAAGACUCUGAGUUUGGUGAAAAUUUAUGGAGGAAUCUUUCAGUGGAAGAAAACUACUUGAAAGUCAAAGAAUCGAAUGAGAGAGAUGUGUGUUUCGGGCUGUUUCAUGGAUAUUGAUGGAUUGUAAAGAUUGUGUAAAUUUCGAGGACGAAAUUUCUGUAAGGUGGGUAGAUUGUGACAGCCCGUCCCUAAUUUUAAGAAUUUUUAAAGUUUUAAUAAAGGAUUUUACAAAAAUGCCCUUCGAGGCACGCACAUCAUUCGAGGUUAAUCGUUGUGUCGUGCCAUCUAAGAUUUGUUUUCUUGACAUAUCCUCGUAGUACUCGUCGUUACGGACGUGUGGGCGCAGACGGUUCGUGAUUUGGAGUUAUAUCGAAGAAGUUAUUAACGUUUGAAAUUUGGAAUUUUAAGGAAUUAUAAUUUUAGUAAAAUAUAGAAAUUCUUUUAUGAAAUUGGACGGCCCAGAUUUAUUGAUGAAUGAAAUGGAUGGCUGGGAUGAGGGAAAGGUUUUUGGUGUGUGUAUGUGUAUGAGAAGAAGAAACAGAAAACAGAAAAGAAGAAGAGACUGGGCAGAAAUGCCCAAUCGGAGAAGAAGAAGGUGAGAGCAAACCAGAAGAAGGGAGAGGAAGAAGCUGACCAAUCAGGGGACGGAAAGGAGGGAAAGGAGGGAAAGGAGGGAGAGUGGUGCGCGGGGGAACAGGAGGAAUGGGUCACCCUUGACCCGCGCGACCCAAGCUUCCAAAUCGGCGGGUUUUCGCCAUUUCCGUCCAAAUUUCCGACGAAUUGAGUCAAGGUACCACUCCUAAUCAUCAUCUAGGCCUUCCCUCUUUACGUUUCACCCCAAGAAUCAUUGAAUUUCGUUGUGAUUUCGCGAAGAACACCCCUACGGGUGCCGCGACCCUUUUGUUUAAAUUCUCCAAAUUUUGAAAUGUUUUCUUUCAAUUACUAACACCUUUAGCAUUCCUUUAGGACCUAGAACAAAGCCCAAGAGGUAAUUGAGGCGUUGGAACAAGUUUGAAGGUCGAAUUGGAAACACCCAAAUUCUAGGGUUCUUCACGGUUUUGGUGAAAUUGAAGCACUUCCAGGCCAAAUUGGCCUUGGUCUCAGGUAUGAAAGUUGUUCUACUCAUUGAGAUCUUCAAAUCUGCAAAUUUUGGUAAUUUUUGGAAAUAGUUGAAUUUUCCGGCGAGCCGGGGCGGCCAACCGCCACCCGCGGCGGCCCGCGCGGCGGCGCGUGGCCAAUGGCCGCCAAUGUCAUUAUUAGCUUGUGAUUAAGGUUCUAGGUUCUGUUUUGAUAAUUGAUGGACGUAAAUUGAAUAAUUGAACCUAAGUUGGUUACGAUUCGGGGUUAGGUGAAAAUGUGAAUUGACGAUCCGACCGUUGGAUCGUCAUCAAACUUUGAUACGUUGUAAUACGUAAUAUUUGAGGAUUAUAGGAACUUACGGAUUGGGAAUCCGAUUUACGGAUAUUCCGGAAUUGGAAUUGUAAGUUCAUAAAAUAGAAUGUUAACCGUCACUUAGUUUUGGAAAUUGACGGAGAUCCGACCGUUGGAUGGUAACGAAAUUUUAGGAUGUUGUCCUAGAGGUAUAUUGUGGACCUCUGGAAGUUUCGGAUUUGAAAUCUGAAUUGCAGAUCAUCCGGAUCGAACUACGUAGUGACGUGUCUUAUAUAAGUUAUGUAUUCUAUCGGCAGGAUUUCUGAGGUUGGGUUUGAUUAUUGUUCUAGGCGCUAAUCUUCAUGACGCCUUGAUGUGUGGUGCUAGGGAGUUGUUGAGCGAACUCCAGGUGAGUGGGCAGUUUUGUUUUCGUAUUACCUUUAUACUAUAAAUUUUUCCCAGAAGAUGAAUUUAUACGAAAUUAUGUUUUGAAAAUGCCAUGCAUAGAAUUAUUUGGAAAAGGUGAAUUUCACAUGAGUUAUAUGAUUGAUAUAUGAUGCAUACAUGUUGCAUGGUGCUGUGGAGGCACAGGUAAGUCAGGUGAGUUCAUUAUUCAUUUAAUUGAUUGUUGAUAAGAUGUUUCAAGCUCAUAACCUGCACCCUAGGUGUUAGUGCUUAUUUUAUUCACCACACCGCACGCUCGCCUUGGAUCCAAGUAGGUGGAUGUCGUACAGACCAUGUGAGGGUUCCGACAUGCUAGUCGUAUAGAUCACUAGGCGUGAUUCCGACUAGUGGGUGAUCUUAGUUAUGCGCGCUGAUGAUUGAUGAGAGAAGCACUAGAGCGUAUUUUUACACCUUUCAUCGUACAGACUACCUUACGUAGUUCCGAGUGAUGUGCAGAGUAGGGCCGUAUAGGUCACUGUGGUGACUCCGGCUUAGUGAGAUAUUGAGCUAUUGAAUUAAUCGUAUAGGACCAACUGCAGGGUCUCCGAUUGAUUCCUUAUUUCACCUGAUUUAUAUUUUGAUUUAUGGCAUGGCAUGUUUUUCUUGAAAAAUGUUAAAGAUUUGGGAUUCAAGUUUUGAGAUUUCAUAUGGUUAUAUAUAUAUAUUUUUCUGAAAAGUGUUAAAGGUUUGAGAUUUGAGAUUUUUGCUUAUAUAUAUGUUUAUAUAUAUGCUAUUUUCUGGGAAAGUAUACAGGUUUUACGGUGAGGGGUUAGAAAUAUUUUAAAUGAAAAGUUUUCGAAAAACUUUGUUUUACUGACCCACUCAAUUUUGUUUUGCGCCCUCCAGGUUCAAGUUAGCAGAGCUUUGGUGGCCACGAGGAAUCCAACGGUGUUCUGACAGAAUUCACAAAAGUAGGACUCACCCUCGGGUGUGUCAUCUUAGUAAUUGGAAAUUUUUUUUAAAGCUUCUGAACUAUGUAAAUGGUUACGUCACUCUCACGUGACGGCCAGCACGCCCUCCUUCGGGACGGGGUGUGUCAUUAAGUCUAGUUGUUAUAAUGCUCAUCCGACUAUUAACUGAGCCUUUGCUUUGAAUUCGGUAUUAAGCCAAGUUUAGCAUUUUAAUAGUAUAAUUAUAAUAAUAAAGUACCUUGAAUAUGGAAGUCAUCAACAACUAAAGCACACACUUGUUUAAUUUGUAUGAACACUGUAUAUUAUUGUUUUUGUAGACCCUGUCAACCACAACCAGUAAGAAUAUAUUAUCCUAGACACCUAACUAUAACUAGCAUAAAAAGAAGAUUAGCCUAUAUUUCUAACUAUAACUAGCAUAACAAGAAUCUGAAGAAGCAGAAGUGUUUCUCUUGGUUAGCUUGAACAUCCUUCAUUUAUUAAUAAAUAUAAAAACACAAAAGUGCAACAUAAUGUACUAGCAGCAAAAAGAGCAACAGAUCAUACUUUAAAGAUGUUGAGAAAAAAAAAAGAGAGUUAUUAGCUAUAACAUUAAAAAAAAAAUUUAAUUUACUUGAAUACAAUGAAUUUACUUGAAUGUUUUUACACCAGGCCAAACAAAAUCUGAAAAAUAAAGUAAUAGAAACAACAAACAUUUGUUGACAAUUUCAUCUUCCUCAAAAGACUUGCUUCUCAUAAACAACUUCAUCUUUCUCUACUCCCUAUAAAAAAUACAUGAAUCCAGUUGGUGCAACGUUUAGCUCAAUAUUCACCACAUUUAUUUAGGGCAC